rnacentral:rRNA from 1 species
UUACGGUCAAAUCACGAUGAACACACCGAUUCUCGUUCGAACGCCGAAGUUAAACAUCGUAGGGCAAAGUCAGUACUUAGAUGGUGGAGCCGCUUGGGAACACCUGGUACUGUAA